rnacentral:rRNA from 1 species
AACGAACGCUGGCGGCAUGCCUAACACAUGCAAGUCGAACGAGACCUUCGGGUCUAGUGGCGCACGGGUGCGUAACGCGUGGGAACCUGCCCUUAGGUUCGGAAUAACUCCCCGAAAGGGGUGCUAAUACCGGAUAAUGUCUUCGGACCAAAGAUUUAUCGCCUUUGGAUGGGCCCGCGUUGGAUUAGCUAGUUGGUAGGGUAAAAGCCUACCAAGGCGACGAUCCAUAGCUGGUCUGAGAGGAUGAUCAGCCACACUGGGACUGAGACACGGCCCAGACUCCUACAGGAGGCAGCAGUGGGGAAUAUUGGACAAUGGGCGAAGGCCUGAUCCAGCAAUGCCGCGUGAGUGAUGAAGGCCUUAGGGUUGUAAAGCUCUUUUACCCGGGAUGAUAAUGACGGUACCGGGAGAAUAAGCUCCGGCUAACUCCGUG